rnacentral:rRNA from 1 species
CAGCCGCCGCGGUAAUACGUAGGGUGCAAGCGUUAAUCGGAAUUACUGGGCGUAAAGCGUGCGCAGGCGGUUAUAUAAGACAGAUGUGAAAUCCCCGGGCUCAACCUGGGAACUGCAUUUGUGACUGUAUAGCCAGAGUACGGCAGAGGGGGAUGGAAUUCCGCGUGUAGCAGUGAAAUGCGUAGAUAUGCGGAGGAACACCGAUGGCGAAGGCAAUCCCCUGGGCCUGUACUGACGCUCAUGCACGAAAGCGUGGGGAGCAAACAGGAUUGAUACCCCGGUAGUCCCUGUCUCUUAUACA